rfam:Oreochromis niloticus linkage group LG2, whole genome shotgun sequence.
GCCAAAAUAGCUCAGUUGGGAGUGCGUCAGACUGAAGAUCUGAAGGUCCCUGGUUCAAUCCCGGGUUUCGGCA